GGCAGCCGCUCUCGCCGCCUCCGCCUCUCCCCGCCCGCCCGCGAGCGCCCUCGUCGCGGCCCCUCUGCGCUCAGGGGAGGGAGUCACAGGUUUCGAGCAUCCACCCUCUGAGCACUUGGCAAUCAGGUUCGGGGAAGACGAAGGCUUGCUUGGCAGAACAACAGGUUCUAGGGUGGAAGAAGUGGAGAGAAAGAAUGUUAUAAAACUGUCAUCUAGAAGAAUGAUCCCUUCCUUUGCAAUGAGUUUUAUACCGAGAUUGAUGGUCAAGUUUGCCUGUUAAAUGUCAUUUUGGGAGACUUCCCUGGUGACGCAGUGGUUAAGAAUCUGCCUGCCAAUGCAGGGGACACAGGUUCGAGCCCUGGUCCGGGAAGAUCCCACAUGCUGUGGAGCGACUAAGCCUGGGCACCUCAACUACUGAGCCUGCGCUCUAGAGCCCACGAACCACAGCUGCUGAGCCUGUGUGCCACAACUACUGAAGCCUGCGUGCCUAGAGCCCAUGCUCCACAACAAAGAGAAGCCAUUGCAAUGAGGAGCCCGCGCACCGCAACGAAGAGUAGCCCCCGCUCGCUGCAACUAGAGAAAGCCCUGUGCAGCAGCGAAGACCCAAGGCAGCCAAAAAUAAAUAAAUAAAAUUAAAAAAAAGAAUGAUUUCACUUAUAUGGGGAAUCUAAAACAAAACCAGAAAACUCCCACCAAACUCAUAGAAACAGAUCAGAUUUGUGGUUUCCAGAGG